UUGAACGCUGGCGGCAUGCCUUACACAUGCAAGUCGAACGGUAGAGGGGCAACCCUUGAGAGUGGCGAACGGGUGAGUAAUGCAUCGGAACGUGCCCAGUCGUGGGGGAUAACGCAGCGAAAGCUGUGCUAAUACCGCAUGUGAUCUGUGGAUGAAAGCAGGGGACCGCAAGGCCUUGUGCGAUUGGAGCGGCCGAUGUCAGAUUAGCUAGUUGGUAGGGUAAA
rnacentral:rRNA from 1 species